UCCAUCUCAUCCUUCUGCUUUCUAUGCCUAAAAAUAAUGUAGCCCAACACAUCAAAAUGAGGUGUAUCCAAAAGGAAAGAGUAGCACUUUUAUCCUUCAAGCAAACACUAGUUGAUGAAUUUGAUAUACUCUCUUCUUGGGACACACAUAUCAACUGUGAUUGUUGCAAUUGGAGAGGUGUUGAAUGCACCAACACUAAUUCUACCACUCACCAACAUAUCAUUACACUUGAUCUUCAUGGCUCAUAUUCUUAUGAAAGGUAUUUGAUGGGUGAGGUUAGUUCUUCUUUGACUCAAUUGUCAUACCUCAACUUCUUAGAUCUUAGCUUUAAUCAGUUUGAUCGGAUUGUCCUUAAAGAUAUUGCUUCUCUUCUGAAUUUGAAUUAUCUCAACUUGUCUUAUAAUUUUCAUGUUUAUACUCCCAUUCCUCCUCAUCUUGGAAAUCUUUCAAAACUGUCUGUUCUUGAUUUAAGAGGUUAAUGACCUUGGUGAUGCCCAUGAUUGGACAAUUACCAUUAACAAACUUCCUGCCUUGCAAAGUUUGUUUUUAAGAGGUCGUUACCUUCCAGCCCCUGUUCAAUCAUUUCAUUAUUCAAACAUCAAUUUCUCGAGAUUUCUAGUUGAGUUGGACCUCUCUUGGAAUUAUAUGGAUCUUAGUUCCUCAAAUUUUUAUUCAUCGAUGAUCAACUCAACUAAUCUUGUUCAUCUGAAUCUUGGUUACAACAAUCUACAAAGUUUGAACUUGAAUGAUUUUGAAAAUAUGACUUCACUUGUAUUUCUUGGUCUGACUUCCACUCAAGUUAAUUUUCGUUCUUUCAAUUCCUUCGGAAGUCUAUGCAACUUAAAAUCAUUACACUUGUCAUUCAAUAAUAUAGGAGGAUUGCUAUUUGAUUUUCUCAUAGCUUUUCCACCAAAUUGAAGUCCCGGAUAUGUCAAUGAACUACUCCACCAGUGCAUUGUCUAUCAAUCUUGAGUCGAACAAAUUUGUGGGCCGAAUUCCCUCCUUUCUUCUCCAAUAUUCUUCACUUUUUCUUUCAAAUAAUAGCUUUUCUGACUUAAGUGGCUUAUGUGAAUUCGUUGGUGACUCUCAUUUAAUGCUACUUGAUCUUUCUAACAACCAACUAUUAGGAAAACUUCCUGGUUGUUGGUACUCCUUCGACAAUUUAGUAUUAUUGGACUUGUCUAAUAAUUAUUUAUCUGGAGACAUUCCACAUUCUAUGAAUUAUCUAACUUACUUGGAUUCCUUAUUUUUACGCAACAAUCAAUUCACUGGCGGGUUCCGUAACUUAUUCAACAUAACAAAUUUGAUUACCUUUGAUGCAAUGAAUAAUAAUUUUUCUGGAGUUCUACCAUCAUGGAUUGGAUGGAAAUUACCAUAUUUGAUACAUCUGAAUUUGAAGUCAAAUAAUUUUCAUGGAGAUUUACCUUCAAGUCUUUGCAACCUCAGUAACAUUCAAGUAAUUGGAUAUUUCAUCCAAUUAUAUUUCUGGAAGCAUUCCAACUUGCAUCAAUAAGCAUGGCAUUUGGAUAUAUUGUGGGUUUUUGGGGAAUAUUUGGAAGUUUGGUAGUACAUAGGAGAUGGAGGCAUGCCUACUUCAAAUUUUUAAGGAAUACAAUCCACUGAAAUCAGGCACCUUGGAGAUAUAUUUAGCCAAGUAGGGAGCUCUCUGGUGGAUGAAUAACUGGGCUUCCAAUGCGUAGCAUAAUCGUGUAGCUAUGUUUUUUGUUUUAAGGUUCAACAGAUGGUUAAGGAAAUUCAAGUGCACUAUCGUCCAAACACAAAUACCUUAAGGAAAACUUGGCUUUCCAUAAA